rnacentral:rRNA from 1 species
UACGAGUGCUUCAAGCGUUAUCCGGAAUCAUUGGGCGUAAAGGGUGCGUAGGAGGGCAGGGAAGUCAGUGGUGAAAUCUCCGGGCUUAACUCGGAAACUGCCGUUGAUACUCUCUGUCUUGAAUCCCGUGGAGGUGAGCGGAAUAUGUCAUGUAGCGGUGAAAUGCUUAGAUAUGACAUAGAACACCGAUUGCGAAGGCAGCUCGCUACACGAAGAUUGACUCUGAGGCACGAAAGCGUGGGGAUCAAACAGG